rnacentral:misc_RNA from 1 species
GAUGAAGAAUGCAGCGAAAUGCGAUAAGUAGUGUGAAUUGCAGAAUUCAGUGAAUCAUCGAAUCUUUGAACGCACAUUGCGCCCCUUGGUAUUCCAUGGGGCAUGCCUGUUCGAGCGUCAUUUGUACCUUCAAGCUCUGCUUGGUGUUGGGUGUUUGUCUCGCCUCUGCGUGUAGACUCGCCUCAAAACAAUUGGCAGCCGGCGUAUUGAUUUCGGAGCGCAGUACAUCUCGCGCUUUGCACUCAUAACGACGACGUCCAAAAGUACAUUUUUACACUCUUGACCUCGGAUCAGGUAGGGAUACCCGCUGAACUUAAGCAUAUCAAUAAGCGGAGGA